rnacentral:rRNA from 1 species
CGCCUCUUGCCCCACAAGUAUAAGAGGUCCAGCCUGCCCAGUGACUUCAUGUUCAACGGCCGCGGUAUUCUGACCGUGCAAAGGUAGCGUAAUCACUUGCCCUUUAAAUAAGGACCAGUAUGAAUGGCCUCACGAGGGGUCGACUGUCUCCCAUGUCCGAUCAGUGAAAUUGAUUUCCCAGUGCAGAAGCUGAGAUAACAACAUAAGACGAGAAGACCCCAUGGAACUUAAAACACAUUAACACCUGCUUCAUAAUAUAACCCUUCUGGCACAAUUCAAUUAAGCCACCAUUGAUUAUUUGUUUUUGGUUGGGGCGACCACGGAGAAAAACAAAACCUCCGAGCCGAAUGGAAUACUUCUCCUAACUAAGAGCCACCCCUCUAAGUAUUAGAACCUCUAACGGUAUUUGAUCCAGCUUUACUGAUCAACGAACCAAGCUACCCUGGGGAUAACAGCGCAAUCUACUCUAAGAGUCCCUAUCGACGAGCAGGUUUACGACCUCGAUGUUGGAUCAGGACACCCCAAUGGUGCAGCCGCUAUUAAAGGUUCGUUUGUUCAACGAUUAAAGUCCUACGUGAUCUGAGUUCAGACCGGAGCAAUCCAGGUCAGUUUCUAUCUAUGCAGCAUCCUUCCUAGUACGAAAGGGCCGGAAAGAUAGGGCCCCUACACCAGCAAGCCCUAACCUUAACAUAAUGUAAACAACUCAACUAUUUUUAGGCCUACCAGCUAGCCGUAGAAAACAGCUAU